GACGAACGCUGGCGGCGUGCUUAACACAUGCAAGUCGAACGGAAAGGCCCUGCUUUUGUGGGGUGCUCGAGUGGCGAACGGGUGAGUAACACGUGAGUAACCUGCCCUUGACUUUGGGAUAACUUCAGGAAACUGGGGUUAAUACCGUAUAGGAGAUCCUGCUGCAUGGUGGUGGUCGGAAAGUUUCGUCGGUGGGGGAUGGACUCGAGGCUUGUCAGCCUGUUGGUGGGGUAGUGGCUUACCAAGGCUUUGACUGGUCGGCGGCCUGAGAGGGUGACCGGCCACAUUGGGACUGAGCUACGGCCCACACUUCUCCGGGAGGGAGCACUGGGGAAUAUUGCACAAUCGGGGGAAGCCUGAUGCAGCAACGCCGCGUGCGGGAUGACGGCCUUCGGGUUGUACACAGAUUUCGACCGUGACGAAGAGUGAGUGGAGGUAAUGGGGAAAGAAGCACAGGCCAACUAUGU
rnacentral:rRNA from 1 species